rnacentral:rRNA from 1 species
CAGCAGCCGCGGGAAUACGUAGGGUGCAAGCGUUAAUCGGAAUUACUGGGCAUAAAGCGUGCGCAGGCGGUUAUAUAAGACAGAUGUGAAAUCCCGGGGCUCAACCUGGGAACUGCAUUUGUGACUGUAUAGCUAGAGUACGGCAGAGGGGGAUGGAAUUCCGCGUGUAGCAGUGAAAUGCGUAGAUAUGCGGAGGAACACCGAUGGCGAAGGCAAUCCCCUGGGCCUGUACUGACGCUCAUGCACGAAAGCGUGGGGAGCAAACAGGAUUAGAUACCCGCGUAGUCCCUGUCUCUUAUAA